rnacentral:pre_miRNA from 1 species
ACUGUGUGGGGAUAGUGUUCAGCACCAAGGACAGGCUUAUUAACUGUGUGUGGAUAGUGUUCAGCACCAAGGACAGGCUUGUUUACUG